AUCCAGCUGACGAGUCCCAAAUAGGACGAAGCGCGCAUCCUAGAU
rfam:Schistosoma margrebowiei strain Zambia genome assembly, scaffold: SMRZ_scaffold0000515